GACGAACGCUGGCGGCGUGCUUAACACAUGCAAGUCGAACGGAAAGGCCUCAGCUUGCUGGGGUACUCGAGUGGCGAACGGGUGAGUAACACGUGGGUGAUCUGCCUUUCACUCUGGGAUAAGCUUUGGAAACUGGGUCUAAUACCGGAUAUGAACUCCCUUUAGUUUGGUUGUUGGAAAGUUUUUUCUGUGCAAGAUGAGCUCGCGGCCUAUCAGCUUGUUGGUGGGGUAAUGGCCUACCAAGGCGUCGACGGGUAGCCGGGCUGGGAGGGUGUACGGCCACAUUGGGAAUGAGAAACGGCCCAGAAUCCUAAGGGAGGCAGCAGGGGGGAAGAUUGGACAAAGGGCGGAAGCCUGAUGCAGCGAAGCCGCGUGGGGGAUGAAGGGCUUCGGGUUGUAAACUCCUUUCGACAGGGAAGAAGCUGUUUGUGACGGUACCUGUAUAAGAAGCACCGGCUAACUACGUG
rnacentral:rRNA from 1 species